ensembl:lncRNA
ACUUUCUAUUUCUAAGCUUCAGUGUGCAUUCUUGCUUCCUUAUUGCUGGGAGCCAUGCCACAUCAACUUGCCUCCUUUUCAGCUUUUAAUGUUUUUUUAAUGGAGUCCAGUUUUCCGCCUAAGUUAUGGCUAGCCUUCUGACAAACCAUCAGACACCUAAGCAACCAGAAUGGAGGUGUCCAGAUGUGACAUGGUGUGGGGGUAAACUUGCAUGCCAUUGAAUAAAACCAUAUUCUAAGAAUUCCUUUAUACCUGGCCUCUGAAUGUGCCAUGAAGGCUAAAAGGGGCUUAAGAAAAACAUUUUAAAAAUUAAUAUGUGACCUGAAGUCUUUUCUUGUAAGCCACUAGCGAAGGCAAUCAUUUCUCAAUCUGACUGGCGUGGUGAGUGUGUUGCCUGAACAGUGAAAUAGCAGCACAGCUGAAUUUUUUUUUUUUUUUUUCAAGUUUAAAAUUGCUCGCGGAGCUCUGAGGUUAGUUAUCUAAUGAAAUAAAAGCAAGCGUGCUUUGCAUGUACCUGGUUGUUUAGAAGAACUUAAAUAAUUGUAAAGUACAAAAUGAUGAAUCAUUGCAGAUGCAAAUUCAUCAAGGACAGUGGUAUUUCUGUGAUAAAGGAAGAAGUCUAUGUUCUUGAAAGUCAGUAAUCUAUACAGCUUGGAAGACAUCCGCAGAACAUUUGGUAAUUAAAUAUGCCCUCAACUGAGAAAUAAUGCCUGGAGUUGUCCUGCUGGGGUUUCAAGAGGACAGUGGAUGGUAUGUGGAUGAUGGCAAUGACUGGAUUGUGAACCACAUAUGGAAAAGCCAUAAUCCAUGGCUUUGAUGUCAAGAAGCCACAGCCCACCAAUCCAAUGAUGUCAGCAUGAUGGAAAAAAAGGAUGAGAGAAGAAGAACCUGGAACAAGGGAGAAGGGAGGAAGAAGGAUGGAGAUCAGGAACAUGGCCAACUUGUGUUCUCACUUGUAAUUAGGGAGUAAAGGCUUGCCUUCAUAAGCUUGCAUGUCAUAUUUAACUGGUGCCUUCCUAUAACAUCUUGACUUAAUAAAGAGGCUAGCAAAAGGAAAAGAGAAGAAAAAUGAAAGAAAAAAAUCCGCAGCAGGACAAUAAAAAGUUUCCUCUUCACACCCACCGCCGUGGGGGUUUUUCCUUUGUGCCUCAGGGCUUAUCCCACUGAAACGCAUCAAUUUUUGCUUUUAUGCUGGAAAUGCCCAAAAAACAUUUGAAGCUUCCCAGCCACCCCUUGAGGGUGAGAACGUUUCACAAUGUGUCUCCAGGGAAGGCUAGGGGGCCAGCGUCGGGUAGAGAGGAGGCUUUCUCCCCUUCACAGGGGAACAAAGGACAGAACCUCAGAGUUCUUGACCCAAUGUGUGACCUCGGGCCCAAGGCAAAACAUUUUAUCUCUGGGUCCUAGUGACAUAAGCUCUCUGGGCUCUGUGAUUGUGCUCUAGGAUGUGACCAAAAACCUUUGAUGGAAUUACUGCCUCCUCUCUCUCUCUGCCUGGCCAUUUAUUAUUCUGUAUAUUUUCGAGAGCUGUGGGAAACUUUCAUAACCAAAGCCUAAGCCAGGCGAAAACUUGUUCUAUUUGGAAUUUGUAAUGAAGUCAAAACAUGGCCUGGAUUUUCUGAAAGGCUCCUUUGGCUGCCUGCGACAGCCCCAGGGCACAAUCAGACAGGGAUGGAGCAGGCCUGGGAGCAGAUUUCGUUACCAAGAAUAGGACACAACAAUAUUUGCCUCCAAAACACCACGGCUGCUAUUUACCUUCUCAGCUGGAAGAAGUGAGAGAUAAAUGCAGAUUUCAUAUAAAGUGCAAAUACCAAUUCCUUGAUUUCUAAUUUGGGGGAUUUUCCCCCCUCUCUAAGCUUCCUCUAAACAAAAGGUUAGGGAGAGUUUUUAGCAUA